AUUCAUUGCGACCAAACCAGUAGAUUGGCUGGGUCAGAUCUAACUCCUUAUGACAAGCGAGAACAUGUGCAAGGGAAGCACAGUACAAUCACCUUCAGAUUAUCAUAUAUGACUUUUCACGACCAAGGUUGAAUAUUCCACCUCGUAUGCUACCACAGACAAGGCACCCAACUACUCUCUCUUCUCCAUUCUG